CUCCGCCGAUCGCCUUGAGUUGAUAUGGCUCAGAAUCAACGCUGGCGGCGUGCCUAACACAUGCAAGUCGAACGCGAAAGGGGCUUCGGCCCUGAGUAGAGUGGCGAACGGGUGAGUAACACGUGGGUGAUCUACCUUUGAGUGGGGGAUAACGUUCCGAAAGGAGCGCUAAUACCGCAUGACGUUCCGGGUUUGAAGACCUGGAAACCAAAGCCGGGGACCGCAAGGCCUGGCGCUUGGAGAGGAGCCCGCGUCCGAUUAGCUAGUUGGCGGGGUAAUGGCCCACCAAGGCGACGAUCGGUAGCCGGCCUGAGAGGGCGGACGGCCACACUGGAACUGAGACACGGUCCAGACUCCUACGGGAGGCAGCAGUGGGGAAUUGUUCACAAUGGGCGCAAGCCUGAUGACGCAACGCCGCGUGGGGGAUGAAGGUCUUCGGAUUGUAAACCCCUGUCGAAUGGGACGAAAGACUCGCGAGCUAAUCAUCGCGAGAGUGACGGUACCGUUAAAGGAAGCCACGGCUAACUCUGUGCCAGCAGCCGCGGUAAUACAGAGGUGGCAAGCGUUGUUCGGAAUUACUGGGCGUAAAGGGCGAGUAGGUGGCCAUCUAAGUCAGACGUGAAAUCCCCCGGCUUAACCUGGGAACUGCGUCUGAUACUGGACGGCUUGAGUAUGGGAGAGGAAUGUAGAAUUCCAGGUGUAGCGGUGAAAUGCGUAGAUAUCUGGAGGAAUACCGGUGGCGAAGGCGGCAUUCUGGACCAUU
rnacentral:rRNA from 1 species